GCCAGCAGCUAUAUCAGCCUGCAGGUCACAACUGACAACCCACUGAAGCUCAGCAGGUAUGAGCCUGGCCAGUACCUGGACAGGAGACCUCCUGGGAAGGCUAAUGUUGCUGCUGGAA
rnacentral:rRNA from 1 species